rnacentral:rRNA from 1 species
GUCCACGCCCUAAACGAUGGGCACUAGGUGUGGGAGGUAUCGACCCCUUCCGUGCCGCAGCUAACGCAUUAAGUGCCCCGCCUGGGGAGUACUGCCGCAAGGUUGAAACUCAAAGGAAUUGACGGGGGCCCGCACAAGCGGUGGUGCAUGUGGUUUAAUUCGACGCAACGCGAAGAACCUUACCUAGGCUUGACAUCCCUGGAACCUCCCGGAAACGGGGGUGCUCGCAAGAGAGCCAGAGACAGGUGCUGCAUGGCUGUCGGU